rnacentral:rRNA from 1 species
UACAGAGGAGCCAAGCGUUGUCCGGAUUGACUGGGCGUAAAGCGCACGCAGGCGGCUCGAUGCGUCGUGCGUGAAACACCCCGGCUCAACUGGGGAGGGUCGUGCGAUACGGUCGAGCUUGAGGCCAGUAGGGGGAUGCGGAAUUCCGGGUGUAGUGGUGGAAUGCGUAGAGAUCCGGAGGAACACCAGCGGCGAAGGCGGCAUCCUGGACUGGUACUGACGCUCAUGAGCGAAAGCGUGGGGAGCGAUCCGG